CAGCAGCCGCGGUAAUACGAACUGUGCAAACGUUAUUCGGAAUCACUGGGCUUAAAGGGUGCGUAGGCGGGCAGGUAGGUCAGACGUGAAAUCCCACGGCUCAACCGUGGAACUGCGUUUGAAACCACUUGUCUUGAGGGGAUCAGAGGAGAGCGGAACUGAUGGUGGAGCGGUGAAAUGCGUUGAUAUUAUCAGGAACACCGGUGGCGAAGGCGGCUCUCUGGGAUCCUUCUGACGCUGAGGCACGAAAGCUAGGGGAGCGAACGGGAUUAGAUACCCCGGUAGUCCUAGCUGUAAACGAUCUGUACUAGUCCGUGGGGACCCCCACAUCUUCUCGGACGUAGCGAAAGUGUUAAGUACAGCGCCUGGGGAGUAUGGUCGCAAGGCUGAAACUCAAAGGAAUUGACGGGGGCUCACACAAGCGGUGGAGGAUGUGGCUUAAUUCGAGGCUACGCGAAGAACCUUA
rnacentral:rRNA from 1 species